GUAACUUCGAGAGUAACUUGGUCACGUGCAGCGUAUGUUGCUGGUUAACCCAUACUACGAAAGUUGGAUAUGUUAAAACCGAGGUAUGCUGCCAUGGCAAUAUACGUAGGAUCCCAAAACUGGUCUUCCCAGUUUUAGUUCUUGGUUAACCCUAGCAGCCUGUACUACGAAGCUGGUUUUCUGGCUUACCGGGGUAACUUCGAGAGUAACUUGGUCACGUGCAGCGUAUGUUGCUGGUUAACCCAUACUACGAAAGUUGGAUAUGUUAAAACCGAGGUAUGCUGCCAUGGCAAUAUACGUAGGAUCCCAAAACUGGUCUUCCCAGUUUUAGUUCUUGGUUAACCCUAGGUUUCCGAUUAACCACACCCUAUUUAGACACCACUCCUCCACCGACAUGUCCCCUAAAGACAAUGCCAGCAUACCUGGACGAUCCGUACGAUAUAGGCGCGCAGAUUGUGAGGGGCUCUCUUCGGAGGGCGAGGGUAUUUAGAGACCGCCACAAUCCGCUGGCGUACCCGGACGAUGUUCUCCAUGAAAGAUAUAGAUUCUCAGCUGAGGGAAUUCGUUACCUAUGCCAGCUGCUCGAGGCGGACGUCUCUAAUGUAACCCGCCGAAGUCAGGCCCUCACAAUCGAGCAAAUGUUAUGUCUUUCAUUGCGCUAUUUCGCCAGCGGACAAUAUAUGUAUUCCAUCGGUGAUGCUGAAAACCUGAGUAAGAACACUGUAUGCCGGGUGAUACGGAAGGUGGUACUUGCUCUCACUAAACUGGUGGAUGCAUUUGUUGUAUUCCCUGGCCAUUUGCCUGCACGUCAGAUAAAAGAAGGGUUCUAUGCAAUCGCUGGUAAUAUGCCACUAAUCUAAAAAUAGGUAAUUUGCACAUUUCAUAAUUGUGACUGGCAACUGAUUUGACUAACAAAAUAUCUAGGUUUCCCAAGAGUAAUUGGAGCCAUUGAUUGUACGCACAUUCCUAUCAGUGCACCCCUGGGAGAGCAUGAGCGGGAUUUUGUGAAUAGAAAGUCCAAACACACCAUCAAUGUCCAGAUGACAUGCGAUCACCACUAUAUGAUCACAAGCCUGGAUGCAAGGUGGCCAGGGUCAGUCCAUGACUCCCGUAUAUUCAGAGAAUCAUCACUGUCUGACAGAUUCCACCAAGGGCAAUUUGAUGGAAUCCUGCUGGGGGACCGUGGCUACGCAUGCAUGAAGUUCCUCAUCACACCAUUUCCUG